GAUGAACGCUGACAGAAUGCUUAACACAUGCAAGUCUUUGGCGAAGCUGUGCUUGCCCAGCCUAGCCAAGGCGGACGGGUGAGUAACGCGUAAGGAACUUGCCCUGCAGUCAGGGAUAACAGACGGAAACGACUGAUAAGACCUGGUAAAGUCAGGCGGACUCAUGUCCAGCCUGAUGAAAAGAGAUGCUGCAGGAGAGCCUUGCGUCCUAUUAGCUUGUUGGUGGGGUAACGGCCCACCAAGGCGAUGAUAGGUAGCCGGCCUGAGAGGGUGGACGGCCACAAGGGGACUGAGAUACGGCCCUUACGCAUACGGGAGGCAGCAGUGGGGAAUAUUGGACAAUGGGGGCAACCCUGAUCCAGCAAUUCUGUGUGCACGAUGAAGGUUUUCGGAUUGUAAAGUGCUUUCAGCAGGGAAGAAAAAAAAUGACGGUACCUGCAGAAGAAGCGACGGCUAAAUACGUG
rnacentral:rRNA from 1 species